CCUACGGGAGGCAGCAGUGGGGAAUAUUGCGCAAUGGGCGAAAGCCUGACGCAGCGACGCCGCGUGAGGGAUGAAGGUCUUCGGAUCGUAAACCUCUGUCAGCAGGGAAGAACGGUCACUGUGCUAAUCAGCAGUGAAUUGACGGUACCUGCAAAGGAAGCACCGGCUAACUCCGUCCCAGCAGCCGCGGUAAUACGGAGGGUGCGAGCGUUAAUCGGAAUUACUGGGCGUAAAGCGCGCGUAGGCGGUAUGUCAAGUCAAGGGUGAAAUCCCCGCGCUCAACGUGGGAACUGCCUUUGAAACUGGCAAACUAGAGUGUGUGAGAGGUUGGUGGAAUUCAAGGUGUAGGAGUGAAAUGCGUAGAGAUC
rnacentral:rRNA from 1 species